rnacentral:lncRNA from 1 species
AAAGUAUCUAAAUCGUAAAUUAAAGACUUAUAAAGUCUUUUAAAAUUCGUUUUAAAAUUUCAAAAAGUUCAUAAAUGUCCAGAGAUCUAAACUAGGGAGUGAGAUCUACAUAAUCAUCCUCAUCACUCUCGUCGUCGGUGUCAUCGGGAGCCGAAGUACUAGGUCGACGAGCGAGGUUCAGCAUUUGUUCUUUGAUUUGCCGAGGAUCCGCUGUACCAAACGGAACAGCAAAUAAAUGAGUAUCAUGGCUGAUGCGCUCUGGCGCAGAAGAAAUAGAUCCUGCAAUAUCCUCAGGAUCUAUCGGUCUCCUAGACUUCUUCUUCUUAGCCUGUUUAGUCUGGCUAACUACAAGAUGCUCGCGAUGUCUAUCACCAUCACCGCCUGAUGACAUCUGUAUGCAAAUUUACAUGUAUAAUAUAUAUAAAAAUCAUAAAUUAAAUAAAAUUAGUAAAAUACACUUACAUAUGUAC